GAUAGGGAAGAGGAGGGAGGGGUAAGGGAGUGAUAUGGGGAUAUAAGGGUCAGCUCUCUCACAAAGGCACAGGCUAAUGAUAGCAGCGCUGAUGCAGAAGGAGAGCCAGGUAUUUAGCUGUGUGCCUAUUCUGCCGGUAAAGGAGCGACAAAAAGGGUCCAAAGGCACCGUCCAUGGUCACACAGAAGUUCAGUGAACAUUCCACUGUGCAGACAGCCAUAUGGGAAGUCAGCAUAACAGUGGAUAAACAUGCAUGGACAAGGCAGAUGUAGGAAAAGAGAGGGAGGAAGGGAAAAAGGGACAGAUGGUAAAAGGUCAACAGCAUUAACACUCGUAUGGAUUUAUGGUUUUCAUAGCAUCAGUUUACAAUAAGUGUUGCUGUUGUGUCAUUGUUUUACGUCUUGAAUAAUCAGGAUUUAGACCCCGCAGGGCUCGACAGUGCGAGCUUUUAACUCGGAUUUGAGAAAAUAGAUGUGUGCAAACUGUAAAAUGAUUUUAGGAGCACGUGUGUGAAUUACUUAAUUUCACACUUGCGUUUUUUUGCAAAUGCGGCGGCCAGUGGCUCCCAUUAGCUUUGCAACAUUUAAGUUUUAAUUUGUUGUCUUUCUGUCUUUGUUACUGGAGAACAUAUAGCGUGUCUCAGAGCAGCU